UUGGGCCUACGGGGCGCAGCAGUGAGGAAUAUUGGUCAAUGGCCGAGAGGCUGAACCAGCCAAGUCGCGUGAGGGAAGACGGCCCUACGGGUUGUAAACCUCUUUUGUCGGGGAGCAAAGCGAGUCACGUGUGACUCAUUGAGAGUACCCGAAGAAAAAGCAUCGGCUAACUCCGUGCCAGCAGCCGCGGUAAUACGGAGGAUGCGAGCGUUAUCCGGAUUUAUUGGGUUUAAAGGGUGCGCAGGCGGAGGCACAAGUCAGCGGUAAAAUCGCGGGGCUCAACCCCGCUCCGCCGUUGCAACUGG
rnacentral:rRNA from 1 species